rnacentral:rRNA from 2 species
AGUCGAGCGGACGGAUGGGAGCUUGCUCCCUGAAGUCAGCGGCGGACGGGUGAGUAACACGUGGGCAACCUGCCUGUAAGACUGGGAUAACUUCGGGAAACCGGAGCUAAUACCGGAUAAUGCACAACCUCUCAUGAGGCUAUGCUGAAAGAUGGUUUCGGCUAUCACUUACAGAUGGGCCCGCGGCGCAUUAGCUAGUUGGUGAGGUAACGGCUCACCAAGGCAACGAUGCGUAGCCGACCUGAGAGGGUGAUCGGCCACACUGGGACUGAGACACGGCCCAGACUCCUACGGGAGGCAGCAGUAGGGAAUCUUCCGCAAUGGACGAAAGUCUGACGGAGCAACGCCGCGUGAGUGAUGAAGGUUUUCGGAUCGUAAAACUCUGUUGUCAGGGAAGAACAAGUGCCGGAGUAACUGCCGGCACCUUGACGGUACCUGACCAGAAAGCCACGGCUAACUACGUGCCAGCAGCCGCGGUAAUACGUAGGUGGCAAGCGUUGUCCGGAAUUAUUGGGCGUAAAGCGCGCGCAGGCGGUCUCUUAAGUCUGAUGUGAAAGCCCACGGCUCAACCGUGGAGGGUCAUUGGAAACUGGGGGACUUGAGUGCAGAAGAGGAAAGUGAAAUUCCACGUGUAGCGGUGAAAUGCGUAGAGAUGUGGAGGAACACCAGU